rnacentral:lncRNA from 1 species
ACGGUGGUAUCAGGUAGUCGAAUACAAGAUGGAGAGGUAUAAAUGGAAGGAGUAAAGUACUCCUUUAGCAGUUUGGGUUGUUCUUCAGCCAUCUCGACAAGUGGUGUAGAUCCUAUGGUUCUAUAGGUGCGAAUUUCGGCUCGAAGGGCCCUAAUAGAAUGCUCUAUUUCAGAAUCAAAAGGUACUAAUUCAGAAGAUCUGGAACGACACCCUAGCAUACACUAAAGCUUGUUGGAUCAGUCAAGUACAAUCAA